GAACUCGAUUGCAAUCCGCGGAACUCGAUUUCGGUUCCGCGGAACUCGCGAUGGGUCCCCCGGAACUCGAUUGCGUCCACCGGGGGUUUUAUUAAUUUUUGAAGGUUGAUGAAUAUAGAAUAAAUAGGCUGAAAGUUGAGAGAACGUGUAUUAAAUAUUUGCACUCCGGUUCACAGACGCCCCCCGGAACUCGUGACGGUCCGCAGGGGACGGGUAGGCGUCUGUGAACCGAAGUGUGUAUAUAUAUAUGUUUUAGAAAUUUUAAGAUUAUAAUUAUUAAUAACCUUAAAUAAUAUUAAAAUGAAUAGGAAAAUAAAAUGUGGUGGGGUUGAUAUUGUGGUUUUCCACUAUAUCAACCUUCUCCUAUGUAUCUAUCCUUCUUAGUGUUUUAGCUAAGAAUUGGGCCUCAGAAGGGUUGUCUCCCAAACCUACAUAGUAGUCCUUUUCAAUUGUGAACCACAUUUUUUCUUAAAGAUAUCAGCUCUAAAAUAUAUUAUGCACUUUGAAUGUUUUAUAUUACUUGUAAUCUUGUAUGUUUAUUAUGCUAUUGACUUGUUUCAAAUUUUAAUGUAUGAUUUUAUAUUAUUAUUGUUUAAUUUUAGAGAUUUAUUUAAAAUAAGAAAAAAGAUGAUAUGUUUGGAAAAAAAUGAUUUGAUUCCGGAUAAUUCGGAUAUCUAGACAAAAUUAAUGAAUUCGGAUUACGAAUUUACUAUCCGUAAAAUAUUUGGACGAAUUCGGAUUACGAAUUUACUAUCCGUAAAAUAUUUGGAUGAAUCCUGAUAUUUUAACGAAUCCAAUUCCAGAGACUAUAAGUUCCGUUCCAAACAGACUUCUGAUCUUCUAUACCCAAAGACUAUGUGAUGGGUCUAUCCCUUCCCUCUCCUUAAUUUGUAAUCUGUGAUGGAUUUAGCAGAUUUUUUUGAACUUGUUAGUAUUUCAAUUGUAGAAUUGUUGGAUCUAUCCUCCUCCAUCUCCUCGACAUUUUUGUCCAAAACUCACCGAACAGAGUUAGUUGUUUUUGAGAAAAUAUUGUUUUCAACUGUACUCCCAUCCGUAAGCUGAAAGAACAGUCAAUUUGCAUUUGUAGGCGGGAUAGUUUGUGACUUUGUGUUUCUGAAGACUACAUAUUUACAGCCUUAUAGGCACCACUUGUCGUGGAGGUAUCUUUUCUUAGUUGAGGCAGCUCCCCUUGACAUAUUUUCGUUCCCUGAAUCCUUCGCCAUCCGCAGUUGGGGUCGACAAUCAUCAGAAAAGUGUUUUACAAAUGUCAGAAUUCCCAAAUUAUAAAUCGCAAAUUCCGAUUUAAAUUAUUUUUAAUUGAAAUACAAAGGUAACCUCCCAGCAAAAUUAUUUUUAGGAGUGUUGUAUCGUUUAUUGAUACAUUGUUCAUUGUUUUGCCAAAACAAAGUUUAAUUUGAACACAGGCAUAACAAUCUAAUCCUCUAAAAUAGUGAGAUAGAAGGGGGGAAUGAAAAGAAUGAAAAAGAAAAUGUAACAUUUGGAAUCGUGAAACAUUUAAAAAAAUAUAUCCGAAAAAUCCAAGUAAUCAAACACAUCAUGUUAAAUUUAAAUUCACAAAAAAAAAAUCACCGAUGGGGGAAGCACAGGAGCUGAAGAAAUUGAAGCAUCUCCAUCUUUACGUGACUCGUCAUGUCCCUUGGCAUACAUCCGAGUUUCUCUCAGACCGCGGAAAUAAGACAAUGGGAAUCGCUGGAAAGAUCGAGAAGAAAAGGAAGGAAGAGAAAAACAAAGGGAAGAAACUCUCGAUCGGGAUAAAAUAAUGGGUUUGAGUAAGGACGAAUUAAAACAAAGAGGAGCUUUGGAUUGGUAUAGCGGGGAGAUUCCGCCGCCGAACGUGAGAUGCAAUGCUCUCUGCAUGAUCGUUAGAGCGCAACACGAUGUCGAUUAUCAGUAGUAGGGUGGAUUUUCAUCGAAUUCAACGCUGUUCCCAAAUCCCAACCGUCACAGUCGCCAACGAGAUGUGUGGUGAUUGUAAAAUCGUGAUAGGGUAGGACUAGGAAGGUCGAGAUUGUAGAAAAAUUGGGGAGAAAAUCUGCAUAACACUGACAGGAUAAUAUUUUGGAAAUAAAUAAAUAAAAAUACAAACAAAAAAUUCUCCCUUAGAGAUUCUUUUUUUUUUUUU
rnacentral:lncRNA from 1 species